AGCGCUGAGGUAGCGUUCAGUUUCAGCCCCAGUGCCAUUAUGAUGGAUGUUUACAUCUCUUCAUUGAGAGCCAAUUAUCUCUCUUUUGUGUGAGGCCCAAGGAUCACUCAUGUUGCCAGGCUGCACGGAGCCCUGUUGGAUGUAGCUGAACCAAUUGUUUUCUCUGUCUCUGAUGCCCAGUGAUUUAAAAGAAAAAAAAAAAAAGAGAGAAACCUGAAAUCUACCCUCCUCAAAGAAAAUCAAUCUGUACACAGAACCUACCAGUUGAAGAUAAACCACUUUUAGAUGGUAUCAUUUAAUUAGCCAGUGAAGAGUCUACCUAGUGACAUACACAUAAAUUGUAAAAGAACUCAAAGUUGCCUGCAUGAACUUGAUUUAGCACAAAGUAUUUUUUGUUGUUGUUAAUAUUGCAUAAUAAUAAAAUUAUAUCAC